rnacentral:rRNA from 1 species
CCUACGGGUGGCAGCAGUGAGGAAUAUUGGUCAAUGGACGAGAGUCUGAACCAGCCAAGUAGCGUGAAGGAUGACGGCCCUAUGGGUUGUAAACUUCUUUUAUAAAGGAAUAAAACGAGGCACGUGUGCCUUUUUGCAUGUACUUUAUGAAUAAGGAUCGGCUAACUCCGUGCCAGCAGCCGCGGUAAUACGGAGGAUCCGAGCGUUAUCCGGAUUUAGUGGGUUUAAAGGGAGCGUAGAUGGGUUGUUAAGUCAGUUGUGAAAGUUUGCGGCUCAACCGUAAAAUUGCAAUUGAUACUGGCAGUCUUGAGUACAGUUGAGGUAGGCGGAAUUCGUUUUGUAGCGGUGAACUUCUUCGAUAUCACGAAGAACCCCGAUUGCGACGGCAGCUUACUAAACUGUGCCUGACAUUGAUGCUCGAAAGUGUGGGUAUCAAACAGGAUUAGAUACCCUAGUAGUC